GAGCUUCGAAUCGCUCUCCCUCCGAGCAAAGCAAGGCACCGCGGAGCCGACAUGAACAGACUCAAAUAGAGGACGAGGUGUCUGUUAGGGUUCCGUUUCGAUGGGGGCUUCCCCAUCCCUCCGCUUCCUUCUCCUUUGGAUCGCCAUCGCCGCGGCCGCCGACGAGCUCUACUGCGACAGCUGGAGGCUCUCGGUGGAGACCAACAACGCCGGGUCCUGGCGCACCGUCCCUCCUCCGUGCCGCGGGUUCGUCGAAGAGUAUAUGAGCGGCGAGCGGUACGAAUCCGAUUCUAACGUUGUGGCCCUCGAAUCUCUGGCGUUCGCCAAGAGCGUCCAGAUCACCGACGACGGGAAGGACGCUUGGAUCUUCGACGUCGACGAGACGCUUCUCUCGAAUAUCCCUUAUUAUGCGUCUACCGGAUACGGAUCAAAGCUCUUCAAUGUGACUUCAUUCAAUGAAUGGGUAAAUUUGGCAAGUGCACCAGCUUUACCAGCCAGUUUAAGGCUGUAUGAAGACCUCUUGAUCCUUGGAUUUCAAAUGAUUCUCCUUACUGGGCGAACUGAAUCUCAAAGGAAAAUCACAGAAGACAAUCUAUUGUUAACAGGAUACGGGUAUUGGAAACGCCUCAUAUUGAGGUAGAUAUUGACACCGGAAGAAUGUGAAUGUAGCGAUUUGAUAGUUUGCACAUGAAACCAUUUAAAUUGGUGGAAAAUUGAGAUCAUCAUCCAGCCCUAUUUCACCCAACUUUUAGGUGGGAAGCGUUGGAUUUGGGCAAGCCUGCAGUGAAGUUUAAGUCGGAACGGAGGGCGGAAUUGGAAGGCGAAGGGUUGAGGAUUCAUGGCAACUCCGGGGAUCAAUGGAGCGACCUGUUGGGCUCCACCUUGGCCAGGCGAUCCUUUAAACUCCCAAAUCCCAUGUAUUAUAUUGAUUGAACAAACUAAUUCACAUCACUACAAAUUGGUUAAUCUUAUGUACAUAAGCAACGCUUUGUGUUUAUAUCUAAGAUAAACGAGUGUCUAUUCCUUUC